rnacentral:misc_RNA from 1 species
GCGUGUGAAAUUUCUGCAGUGGAGGAUUCAGUUCUUGGAGAGGAGCAUUAGGAAGCUUGAUUUCAGUCCCAAUGGUAUCUGCACUAUUGUCCAGGUCAACGAUCUCAAGAAUUCUCCGGGGCCUGCUAAGAGGGAGCUUAGGCAGGCCACCAAUCAAGCCGUUGCUUUGCUUCAAGAUAACUAUCCUGAAUUUGUUGCGAAACAGGUCUUCAUCAAUGUUCCAUGGUGGUACCUUGCUUUCAAUAGGAUGAUUAGUCCUUUCCUGAC